AUCUCUUCCUACUUGGAUAAGAGGGUGGAGGUGGCCACACUCCCCCUCUCUCUUUUUCUUUGGGGCGAAGCCAUGCCAAAUUGCUUCCCCACGUACCCUUGUUUCUAUAGAGCUGCAAUUAUGCAGCUGUAGUGUAUUAGUUAUUUGGAAAUAGAAUGUCAAACUUUACCAAUAGCUAGAUCUUGUCGUUAGCGUCCUCAGGACAGUAGGCACGUUUUGUUUGGAGAGAAAACAAGAAAGUUGUGGUGGUUUUAGUAACAAGGAGGUCAGCUGCCGGCCAGAUCUGGAGGUCCGACUUUGGAAGGCGAUUGUUGGCGGACAGUAUUGAAUUUGGAGCUGAAACUUUUGUGGUGGAUGGUUCUUGUUUUCAGCUUUGCAAGGACUAUUUGCACGCUUAGAUUGAGUAAAGGCCAAGGAAGUUAUGGUGGUUGGAGAGAAGAGGAGUCGGCCGUGGUGAAGAUGUAGCACUCCGCCAACUCAAGCUACUUUGGAAGAUCAUAUCUUGGAAUUCACUCAAGAUUUUCAAGAAAAAAUUGUUGGAGGUGAUGCGGUCUUAAUUCUAGUUUCUAGAAUGCUAAAGCAUAUGCGUUGCACAACUGGAAUGGAGCAAGGGCAAGGGUUUUUGUGGCCAGGGGUGCUCUGACUAGGCCGAGAAAGUCAGGCAACUUUGAGGCAAGAUUUCUUUUAGCUUAAUUGUUGUUUUGCAUUGAAUUUUGUUGGAAGACAAGCGCUUCUAAGUCUACUUUCUAAAAUAGCAAAGCUUGUUAUAAACAAGUUAGUGAUGCAACCAUUGUAGUGGAAUUCGUGCAAGGGGGUCGCUGCCAUGACUUGGAAGGUGGCGACUUCUAAUUUUCUUAAUUUUUAGGAUGAAUCUUGGAUGAAUUAGGUCAAUUGCACGAAUUGUCAAUUGGAUGAUAGGUUGACUUAUGGUUGGAUGAAUGAAACUUAGAUGAGAAUUGGAUGAACAAACUUUGAAUGAAUGAAUGUUAUGGGAUGAAUGAGAAUUAAUGGAUGGAUGAUUGAUGAAUGGAAAUUUAGGAUGAAUGAACUUAGGGUUUAUGGAUGAACUUAGGAUUUAUGGAUGAACUUAGGAUUUAAGGGUGAACUUAGGAUUUAUGGAUGAACUUAGGAUUUAUAAAAAUUGCGUGUGAGUGAAGUUAAUCCACUUGACUACUAAAUGCAAUUAAGGGUGGAGGAAUUUAGCUCACAAGUUGCCAAACAAUAUUGUGUUGGAUUAUGGGCCAUAAUUUAUAUCAAGGUUUUGCAAUGCACUCUUCAAGAUUCUUAAGAUUGACAUCAACCUUUCCUCUACUUUCUAUUCUCAAACUGAUGGUCAAACAGAGCAGGGCAACUAAAUUCUUGAGCAAUAUUUGAGGUGCACCAUCAACUAUCAAUAAGAAAAUUGGACUUCCUACUUGUCGUUGGUGGAGUUUGCAUAUAUUAAUAUAAUCCAUGUAUUUACAUAACAAAUGCCAUUCUAUUCAAAUUAUAGUCAUCAUCCAAAAUUAGAUAUGAUAGAGCCUUCAAAGUUUGUAAAUCUAGUAGUAGAGGAGUUUACUAUGAAGAUGGCCAAACUUCAAGCAACCAUGAAGACUCACCUAAAAAGGGCUCAAUAAUGUUAUAAGCUAUUAGCGGAUCAAUUGACGAAAGAACAUCCUCUAUGCCAUGUUGGUGACAAAGUGUGGCUUCUUUGACACAAUAUAAAAACCAACAGGCCAUGUGAUAAGUUGGACUAGUGAAGGUUGGAACCAUUUGUGAUUCAAAAACAAAUUAAUAAUGUAACUUAUCACUUAGAGUUACCUUCAUCUAUAAAGAUUCAUUUAGUCUUUUAUGUUUUACUUUUGGAAAUGUAUAAAGAAUUGAACAUACCAGGUUAAAGACAACCUCUAUCUCCUAUGGUUGAAAUCAAUGAUCAUGUUAAAUUUGACGUAGAAGAUAUAUUAAAUUCAAAGAUAAGAUAUGAAAGGCUUGAAUAUCUGGUCUAUUGGCAUAGAUAUGAUAUCAACAAUCACACAUGGGAACUAGUUGGCAACCUUAAAUGUACAAAAUGAAGGUUCAAAGGUUUCAUCAACAACAUCUAUCUUGACCAAAAGUAGUAAAAUAAAAAAUAGUAGCUUAAUAAGAUGCCUUCUUCAUGAAUAUUCUUAGUUCUUGGCUUCAUAAAGAAGUUCAUAAAGUUCUUCAUGGAUGAACUUAGGGUUUAAGGAUGAACUUAGGGUUUAUGGAUGAACUUAGGAUUUAUAAAAAUUACGUGUGAGUGAAGUUAAUCCACUUGACUACUAAACGCAAUUAAGGGUGGAGGAAUUUAGCUCAUAUAAAUGGUGCAUUUGCCGGGAGCCGAUCUGAGAGACAUUGUCUAACUUUUUUUUUUUUUUUUUUUUUUUUUUUUUUGAGGUGAGAUGAUUGAUUACAUGGAGGAAGGAGAUAAUAGAAGCAAGAUGAUGGGGUUGUGAUUGGAGGGAGCACAGCAGAAGGUAUGUGGGUCCUGGGGAUAUCUGUGGUUAGUUUGUGCUAGAAACCUUAGCAUGUGAUCGAGAGGCCGGUGGUAUACUAACGGCGCAGAAAGUUGGAAUUGCAUGAGGUAAGCCAUCAUACCUUGAAUGAUCUAUGUUAACUUAGGAUUGUAAUUCGUCGUUGUCGUUGCCUUGUUAGUGGAUAAUGCCUCGGCAGUGAGCUGAAUUGAGAACGAGGGGAGUUUUGGCCGCGAAGGCAGAAUCUCAGUGUCUCGUUUACUGACCGGGUAAGUCCCACAACAUAGGUUGUACCGUAUGCCAAGAUUGGACUAGUAGACUGGUUUGCCUUGGUGAAUUCCAUGUCAUUGCUCGUAAAUACUAUCUUGGUGGUUUGCAUUCCCUACCCACUUGAGGGUAGGCUAGAUUAUUAAUUAUCAAUUUAAAAAUUUCAAAAAAAUAAAAAUAAAAAUAAAAAUGGAUUGGUAGGUAAUGAUAGAAGGUCAAUGAGGACGUUUAGAUGUUCCCAAAAACUAGAUCUCAAAAACCUUCUUUGAACCAAGGACUUGAACAUAUUGGAAGAUGUGGAGGCAAGGUCGUGGAUAACAAGGAAGCAGCCCCUUCUUGGAAAACACUCAUUAAUAGUAGAAGCAAUGAAGAAUUUCUUGGAAGAGACAUUAGAAGGAAUUUAGAAAAGGCUUUAGGAGACGUCGGGGGCAGCGAGCUAUUGGAGGAGUUGGAAGUGGAGGAGUUAGAGAUAGAACACGUAGAUCCUGAAGACGGAGUGUUUGGAGACGUGAACCUUAGAAAAAUAGGAGAACAGGAUAGGACCUUGGACUUUGUGCCUACGGUCGAAGGAUUUGUUCACGAGAUGGCAACGGAGCGGCUUCCAGCUUUGGAUCCCUUAGUUAGGCCACGAGGUUUGCCCGUGGCUAUGUCAGUAGGGCUAUUAGCGGCCAUAGUUCCAAGGAAUCUCCCCAAGUUUUAUGGCACCAAGGACGAGGAUCCAACCCUACACAUGGAGAGGUACAUAGAGAUCUUGACAACAUCCCUCAUUGGGAACGAGGGAUAUUACCUGGUUUGGUUCCCUGGAACCUUACACGGUGAGGCUUACAAUUGGUACCGGGACCAUGAUAAGGGACAUUUUACCACGUGGUCCCAGUUGCAAGUAGCCUUCUUAAACCACUUUAGGUCGGAGGUUGGACAAAGUACAGCCUUGAGAGCACUGGGAGCGGUAUGACAACAAAGAGAUGAGGAAAUGGCUAACUACAUCAUGAGGUUUGACUUAGUCUGCAUGCGUUAUGUAGGAGGAUUAUUGAAUGGCGAUACGUUAAAGUAAUUCUUCAUUAAAGGAUUUGCUAAUCGAUCUACAAUCAAGGGAGUAUUAGAGAGAAACCCAGCCACUUUGGAGGAAGCCAAAACAGCGGCACGCGUUGUAGAUUUAAUCGAGAGAAGUUAUAAAAGGCAUUGGAGGAAGGAAGAUGAGUCUAUCUCGGGGUUUAUUCUAAUUAAUCCCGUAAGCUAAGCGGUAGGACCAAGCACGUCAAGUACACCUCCGAUAGUCGACAAUGGUGCCCAAUAUUACAAUGUCAUGCCCACGGCCACCAGAGCUCUAGUACCCUUAUUGGCGUUACUAGAGCCACAAUUGGAGAAGAGAGUGUAGGACUUGGAGAAGAAAAUACAGGCCAGACAAGAAGGUUUUCAAGACUCCGUGAUGAAGUAGAUCUAAGCCUUGACUGAGCAGAUGGCAUUCAUGGUAAAGAAUCAAAAUUCAAACACCCCACCUCCUUGGAUAGAGUCUGGUAACCAUAACUCGGGGAUUUGGUGCACUACUGGUGGCCAAAAUGGACAUUCAUCUCUUCAGUGCCGAGUAAGGCCUCAAGGUAAUCCAAAUCCUCAACCAUACCAGCCAACACAGGGCUAUGGAAGAGAUAGAGGACCUCAGCAGCGGCAAGGAGGUUAUCAAGGUGGUCCUCAAAUAUAUGGUAGAAGUGGCAGGCCUCGGAAGGAGUACCAUGAGCUUUGCAGGAGAUGGCAUGAGCCGGGUCAGUGCUGGGAUGACGGCCAACCAUGGUCGUGUGGCAAUUGUGGUAGCAAUCACCCUAUCCAUGAAUGUAGACAACCUGAUAAGGUAAUUCAACUACCACCACCAAUAACAAAUCCUUAUGAGAACGCGUGGAAUAACAUGAGAGAUCAGAGAUGACCUCAUGGUGAUGAUCAGAGGGGCCUAAGACCUCCUAAUCUCUACUACAACUAUGAGGAUUCCAGACAAAACCAUCAACCUCCGGAAGGGUUAGAAACCCACCAAGGUUAUAUCCCAGUUGUCCAAAAUCAACAAGGCGGCUAUCAAAACUAUGCAAAUCAGAAACAAGGUCCAUCUUCUAACCAAGAUGUUAGAGUAGCGGAAGAGGUCUUAUUGAAUGGUCCUGCACGAUCUCUAGCAAAGACCAUAGUGGUGAUUGAAGAACAUGAAGCACCUUCUAAUUUAGUGACCCACGAAUUGAAGAAGGACGAAGGCGGUGGCCAUGAGAAUGCUACUUUGGCUGUGAUUACCCGAGGGCAAGCUCAUAGACAAUCACCAAUCGAUGAAGAAGACUCAGAUAGUAGUGACUCUGAAGAGUUGUUGGAUUUAGUAGCUCUUGAGGCGGCCACAAAGGAGGCGACAAGAAUUACAAGGGAGGUAGGCACCGCGGUGGGUGAUGAAAGGUCAUUUGAAGGUUCUGAUCCAGGUAAAGGGUUAGAACCGGGUGAAUGGGAGGGUCCAGAUAUUCCAGAGGAGGAGUUUGGAAGGUUGGGUCGUACGAUGCCAACCUCUUACCAGAAGUAUGAUCUCUGGAGGGACUUGCGGAGGAUAAAGGCUGACAUCUCAAUUGGUCAUUUAUUAGAGAUAUCUCCUUUGAUGAGGAAGAGUUUCAAAGAAGGAUUGCCUAGGGCGAAGAAGAAGAAGAAGACUCAGAAGAGGACAGUGGCUAAGGUACAAGCAUCUAUUAGGCUAGUAGAUGUGAAGGCAGUGGAGAUCGAGAUCACUAUCGUGGACAAGGUGGUUCCGAAUGUGCUUAUUGAUGGAGGUAGUGGACUUAACAUCAUGCCACUUCAUACCAUGGAGAAGUUGUGGUUGAAUUUAACCGGACCAUCACCAUUUGUAUUAAACAUGGCAGAUCAGAGUCCUGCUAGGCCUUUAGGCCAGAUCACGAACCAUAAAAUCUCUACAAGAGGGGAGGAUUACUUAGUGACCUUCCAUGUUAUCAGGAUGCACACUUCCAAAGAGUCUUUUCCACUUUUCUUGGGUCGUCCGUGGUUGAGGAUGGCCAAUGCCACCAUCAUGUGAGGUGGUGAUAAGCCCUCCAUAGUUUACGGUCCAUAUGAAAAUCCCACUAAAGUUAGAAUCAAGCCUUUGAUAGGACUCGAGGUGGUUGACACCAUAUCUAUUGGAGAAGGCACACCAUUAAAAUUUGUGGAUGGGAUGACGUUUGAAGCUGAGGUUCAAACCUUGAAGUGUCUUGGUCCAAAUCUCUACCAUUGGUCAGAAAAUGGAGAGUAUGCCAAGUGGCUCCAGGACAACCCUGAUUCUUGAUUAGAAUUGACGACAGGAUUGAAUUUCAUUGGAAUGGAGUUGGACGAUGGUUUGACACCUUUAAUUGAGGUAGAUGCCCAUUUGAUUGGAAUAGAGGAUGCUGAAGGGAUAGAGGUUUUAGAGGAAAGUGAGCCUUUGGGAGGAUCAUUGAAAUUUAAGACUGGUUCUUCGGGAAUUACGGUUGGAGAAGACGUUUCCAGUUAUCCCAAUGUGCCUUCGGAUUGGUAUCGGAAUAACAAUGUGCAAUCUCACGUUGCUAAGGAAGACUGGAAGUUUGUGACAGUGGAGUUUGAAGGAAAAGAACCAAGACAAAUGAAGAUGGGAAGCCAACUAGUGGAUGAAGAGAUUAAGGCCUACUAUGAGUUGGUAAGAGAGUAUCGGGAGGUCUUUGCAUGGUCUUAUAAGGAGUUAAAGGGAAUUCCUCCUAAGAUUGUAGAACAUCGAAUUCCCUUGAUGAUCGGUGCAGUGCCGAUCAGGCAAAAAGAGAGGAGAAUGAAUCCUCAACUUCAAUUGAUUGUGAAAGAGGAACUGGAGAAAUUACUCUAAGCAGGUUUUAUUAAAUCUGUUGAGAUCUCAGAUUGGGUCUCUCCCAUGGUGCUUGUAAAGAAGAAGAAUGGUAAACUUAGGGUGUGUGUGGAUUAUAGGAAGUUAAAUUUCUGCACCCAAAAAGACCUCUUUUCCUUGCCAUUUCUCACUAGUAUCUUGGAAGAAGUGGUAGGUCACGAUUUAUACACAUUUAUGGAUGGAUAUUCUGGAUACAACCAAGUGUCUAUUGCACCUGAAGAUCGACACAAGACUACAUUUACAACACCUUGGGGGACGUUUGUGUGGCAUGUGAUGCCAUUUGGAUUAUGUAACGCCUCUGCUACUUUCCUAAGUCUGGUGAUGUCUAUCUUCUCAGAUUUGUUAUACAAAUCAAUGAUCGUAUUCAUUGAUGAUUUCAGCACCCAAUCUGAUGCAGAUUCUCACAUUCAUUUGGUGAAAGAAAGCUUAGAGAGGUGCAAGAAAGCUCGAAUGGCCCUGAAUCCAGAAAAAACCUAUCUUGCCUUGACUAGAGGCAUUUUGUUGGGAUAUAUGGUCAAUAAGAGGGGUCGUGAGCCCGAGCCAAAAAAGGUGAAGGUAAUUCAGAAUUUAUCACCUCCUACCGAUGUGAAGGAAGUGCAACGUGUAUUGGGACACAUCGGUUGGUAUAGGGAGUUGAUUGAAGAUUACGCCACUAUUACCCUUCCCAUCACUAGCCUUCAGAAGAAAGGCACCAAAUUUGUAUGGACUCAGGCUUGUAAUGAUGCUUUCGAGGUUCUAAAGAAGGAAUUGUCUUCUUAUCCAAUAUUGAGGCUCCCGAGGUGAGACUUGCCUUUCCACAUCUAUUGUGAUGCAAGUGCGGUGGCGGUUCGCAACAUUCUGUGCCAACUUGUAGAAGGCCCAAGCAAGGGCAAGGAUCAUCCAAUUGCCUAUGCUAGUAGGCAAUUAAAUCCUGUAGAGAGAAAUUAUUCCACCACUGAGAGAGAAUGUCUAGCCAUGGUGUUCUCAGCUAAGAAGUUUAGACAUUAUCUGUUGAGCAACAAAGUGGUUUUUUAUGUGGAUCACAUGGCCAUCAAGUAUUUGGUUAAUAAAUCUGAGUUGAGCGGUCGGCUAGCUAGGUGAGUCUUGUUGCUACAAGUGUUUGAUUACACUGUGGAGUACAAACGUGGAUCCGUACACAAACAAGCAGAUCACAUGUCGAGAUUGCCUGGAGGAAUGGAGACCCACCCGAUUGAUGAUAGAUUGAUAGACGAGAGUCUUUUCUUGGUGACAGCUAGACUAGUAUGGUAUUCUAGGAUUAUUGAGUUCUUGACUACUCAACAAUUGCCAGUGGAUUUAUCCAAGGACGAGAGGCGGAAGAUUUGGGUCAAUAGUCGUCAUUUUGUGGUGUUAGGGAACCGGUUGUAUCGACGUGGAUUGGAUGGAGUGUUAAGACGUUGUGUGAUGGAAGAUGAGGUUCCUUCCAUUUUGUCGGCUUGUCAUGACAGUGCAUGCGGCGGGCAUUUUUCUGGCCAAUUGACUAGUCAAAAAAUUCUUAGGGCUGGUUAUUACUGGCCAACACUCUUCAAGGACGCUGAUACCUAUGUGAGGCGUUGUGAUGCAUGUCAGAGAUUUGCUAGGAAUGACCUUCACAUGCAGUUGCCGCUUCACAUUUUCCUACCAUUGGUGCCAUUCGAGAAGAGGUGCAUCGAUUACGUGGGAGAGAUUCAUCCUCAUUCAUCUUGAGGAAUGGCAUAUAUUGUAGUGGCCACCGAAUAUCUCACUAAGUGGCCUAAAGCCAAGGCUGUGAGGACAAACGAUGCCAAGAAUGCUGCGAUCUUUCUCUUUGAGAAUGUGAUUACUAGAUUUGGAGUCUCAAAGAUCCUUGUGAGUGAUCGAGGUACUCAUUUCCUCAACGAGGUGAUUGAAUCCAUGACUGAGUGAUUCCAGAUUGAUCACCGGAAGUCUACACCCUAUCACCCUCAAACCAAUGGUCAGACAGAGCGAGUCAACCAAACACUUGGUACUAUAUUGAGGAAAACUGUUAGAGACUCCAAGCGUGAUUGGGAUGUGAAACUUCCAACCGCCUUAUGGGCAUAUAGAACAACAUUCAAGGUCACCACACAAGCUACGCCAUUCUCUCUAGUCUAUGGACUGGAAGCAGUUUUACUAAUUGAGUUUGAGGUUCCAUCCCUUCGGAUUGCAGUAGAUUCCAGAUUGACUGACAGACAAUCUUUAAAGACAAGGUUGUACGAGCUCGAGGCGUUGGAUGAGAGCAGGAAACGAGGGGCUCAAUACAUUGAGGCCAGCCAGAGGCAGCGCAAGGUCGUGUUUGAUAAACGGAACAAGACUCGGGUCUUGUAACCUGGUAUGCUAGUAUUGUUACAAGACGCUUGAAAGAUCGACUUUCCAAGCAAGUUUGAUGCCGUAUGGUUGGAUCCUUAUCUUGUCAAGGAGGUGUUUUUAAACAACUCCGUGCAAUUGGAGACCUUGAAUGGUCAAUUGUUUCCCACACGAACAUAAGGUAGCAGGUGUAAAGAAUAUAAGACAUGAGGGAGCGCAAUUUUGGGCAAGAGCUCCAUCUUUCUAUCUUAUGACAAGGCGACAGUAUGAACUGGCAUGGUGAAAAUACUUUAAAGGACAAAAAAUGGCAAGUACAAGCUGGAUUCGUCCCCUGAUGGUCGCCAAUUAUGUGAGCCCAAAAGUUGCUUCACAUUGUUGGUUAAACUAAAAAAUCUAAAAAAAAUGAGGAUUUUGAUUAUGUUUUGUUAUAAUAAGUUAGUUAUAGACAUUAAUGUUAGUGGCUUAUUGAUGAUUAGUAGUGGAAAGAAAAAUCAAGGGAGAAGGAAGUGGUAGAAAAGAUAAAAAAAAAGAGCCAAAAGAAAAAAAAAAAAAAAAAAAAAAAAAAACAAAACAAAACAAAAAAAAACAAAACAAAAAAGGCCAAGAAGAAAGAAGGAAGAAGAUGAAGAGGGACAAGGAGAAGAAGAAGAAAAAGGAGAAGAAAAUAAUUAGAAGUAAAAUUAUUGUGAUGGGUUUGUCAAAUUGUUGAUUCUUAAUGAUCUAGAACUUAGAUUUGGGUGUAUGAAUAGUCAAACUUGAUGUUUAAAUAUGUUUUAAACACAUUGGUGGAGUUAGUAUUGUCAAAAAAUUCUUCGAAUUGGGGGUUUUGGGCAUGCCCAGCCCUAAAAUCGGGUUUAGGACUUAGGGUUAAUGUGGGCCCUUGAUCUUGAUUAGGGUUGGUGGAUUCGGAUGGUGGAGAUGUGGCCGCUACCCUUUGGUCUCUUCCUACUUGGAUAAGAGGGUGGGGGUGGCCACACUCCCCCUCUCUCUUUUUCUUUGGGGCGAAGCCAUGCCAAAUUGCUUCCCCAAGUACCCUUGUUUCUAUAGAGCUGCAAUUAUGCAGCUGUAGUGUAUUAGUUAUUUGGAAAUAGAAUGUCAAACUUUACCAAUAGCUAGAUAUUGUCGUUAGCGUCCUCGGGACAGUAGGCACGUUUUGUUUGGAGAGAAAACAAGAAAGUUGUGGUGGUUUUAGUAACAAGGAGGUCAGCUGCCGGCCAGAUCUGGAGGUCCGACUUUGGAAGGCGAUUGUUGGCGGACAGUAUUGAAUUUGGAGCUGAAACUUUUGUGGUGGAUGGUUCUUGUUUUCAGCUUUGCAAGGACUAUUUGCACGCUUAGAUUGAGUAAAGGCCAAGGAAGUUAUGGUGGUUGGAGAGAAGAGGAGUCGGCCGUGGUGAAGAUGUAGCACUCCGCCAACUCAAGCUACUUUGGAAGAUCAUAUCUUGGAAUUCACUCAAGAUUUUCAAGAAAAAAUUGUUGGAGGUGAUGCGGUCUUAAUUCUAGUUUCUAGAAUGCUAAAGCAUAUGCGUUGCACAACUGGAAUGGAGCAAGGGCAAGGGUUUUUGUGGCCAGGGGUGCUCUGACUAGGCCGAGAAAGUCAGGCAACUUUGAGGCAAGAUUUCUUUUAGCUUAAUUGUUGUUUUGCAUUGAAUUUUGUUGGAAGACAAGCGCUUCUAAGUCUACUUUCUAAAAUAGCAAAGCUUGUUAUAAACAAGUUAGUGAUGCAACCAUUGUAGUGGAAUUCGUGCAAGGGGGUCGCUGCCAUGACUUGGAAGGUGGCGACUUCUAAUUUUCUUAAUUUUUAGGAUGAAUCUUGGAUGAAUUAGGUCAAUUGCACGAAUUGUCAAUUGGAUGAUAGGUUGACUUAUGGUUGGAUGAAUGAAACUUAGAUGAGAAUUGGAUGAACAAACUUUGAAUGAAUGAAUGUUAUGGGAUGAAUGAGAAUUAAUGAAUGGAUGAUUGAUGAAUGGAAAUUUAGGAUGAAUGAACUUAGGGUUUAUGGAUGAACUUAGGAUUUAUGGAUGAACUUAGGAUUUAAGGGUGAACUUAGGAUUUAUGGAUGAACUUAGGAUUUAUAAAAAUUGCGUGUGAGUGAAGUUAAUCCACU
rnacentral:lncRNA from 1 species